rnacentral:lncRNA from 1 species
UUCCCUUAAAUAUUCUUCAACCAAACCUUCUUUUUCCUCAAUCUUUCCCUCCUCUUACAUCAAACCAAACUCACUUGUUAGUUAACUUGUUUUUCACUUUCUUUUUCUUUUUUAAAAAAAAUAAUAAUUAAAAAACAAGAAACAAGAAACAAGUGAUUAGCUAAGCUAGUAGAGGUUGCAAGCCAACCUCAUAGCUAUAAUCUUUCCUUUCGUUUUCCUCUAAAACUUUUUUUUUCUCUUUGCA